AACGAACGCUGGCGGCAGGCCUAACACAUGCAAGUCGAGCGAGAUCUUCGGGUCUAGCGGCGGACGGGUGAGUAACGCGUGGGAAUAUGCCCUUCUCUGCGGAAUAGCCUCGGGAAACUGAGCGUAAUACCGCAUACGCCCUUUGGGGGAAAGAUUUAUCGGAGAAGGAUUAGCCCGCGUUGGAUUAGGGAGUUGGUGGGGUAACGGCCUACCAAGCCGACGAUCCAUAGCUGGUUUGAGAGGAUGAUCAGCCACACUGGGACUGAGACACGGCCCAGACUCCUACGGGAGGCAGCAGUGGGGAAUCUUAGACAAUGGGGGCAACCCUGAUCUAGCCAUGCCGCGUGAGUGAUGAAGGCCUUAGGGUUGUAAAGCUCUUUCAGCUGGGAAGAUAAUGACGGUACCAGCAGAAGAAGCCCCGGCUAACUCCGUG
rnacentral:rRNA from 1 species